UACACGAGCGGCGAACGGGUGAGUAACACGUGAGCAACCUGCCCCUGACUCCGGGAUAAGCGGUGGAAACGCCGUCUAAUACCGGAUACGACCCUUCUCCUCAUGGUGGAGGGUGGAAAGUUUUGUCGGUCGGGGAUGGGCUCGCGGCCUAUCAGCUUGUUGGUGGGGUAAAGGCCUACCAAGGCGAUUACGGGUAGCCGGCCUGAGAGGGCGACCGGCCACACUGGGACUGAGACACGGCCCAGACUCCUGCGGGAGGCAGCAGUGGGGAAUAUUGCGCAAUGGGCGAAAGCCUGACGCAGCGACGCCGCGUGGGGGAUGACGGCCUUCGGGUUGUAAACCUCUUUUACCACCAACGCAGGCUCCGGGUUCUCUCGGGGUUGACGGUAGGUGGGGAAUAAGGACCGGCUAACUACGUGCCAGCAGCCGCGGUAAUACGUAGGGUCCGAGCGUUGUCCGGAAUUAUUGGGCGUAAAGAGCUCGUAGGCGGCGUGUCGCGUCUGCUGUGAAAGACCGGGGCUUAACUCCGGUUCUGCAGUGGAUACGGGCAUGCUAGAGG
rnacentral:rRNA from 1 species